rnacentral:rRNA from 1 species
GUCCACGCUGUAAACGAUGAGAACUAGAUGUUGUUAGGGGAACCUAUCAGUAUCGAAGCUAACGCGAUAAGUUCUCCGCCUGGGAAGUACGGCCGCAAGGUUGAAACUCAAAGGAAUUGACGGGGGCCCGCACAAGCGGUGGAGCAUGUGGUUUAAUUCGAUGCAACGCGAAGAACCUUACCUACCCUUGACAUCCUGCGAAUCUAGCAGAGAGGCUGGAGUGCCGAAAGGAACGCAGAGACAGGUGCUGCAUGGCUGUCGU